AAUAUCUGCACUCACACAGAAAGGGCCAUGAAUAUCAUUUUCGAAUUGGUCUACGUAUCCAUUAAAAUAUUUCGUCAUUAGACAUUCUCCAUCAGAUAAAAUGAUCGAAAAUUGAUCAUCCCAGCAUAUGCCAGCGAUGACAUUGAGCUAUGCAGUGAAUUUCUGAAGGAAAUAUCUCAGGCGUAUGCAGCUGCUCUCGUAAUCAAAUACGAGGAAGAUCCAGGAUGCUGAUGAGAGGUUCACUAAUGAGCUCGCAUAUUCCGGAGUUUAGAGGGACCAUCGGAAUUUCACGUUCCUACAAAGAUACCACUUAUUGAAAUAUUUGCCAGAUUCCACCCUGUUCCAGUAACCGAAUGCAAGGCAAGGAGAAGUAGAAUCGUUGGGGAUGGAGCCCGGCCCGGGAGAGAGAGAGCGGGGCCAGGCAAUAUCCGCAUUCCAGAAGAAGGAAUCCCGCGUUGACAGCUCCUGAUAUUGCAGAGCCGGGGUGUCUGAUAACGACUCCGCUCCAGGAAUGUCGUUAGCUUUCCAAAAAUAACAUUUAGACAGCGUUAUUUAUGGGACCGGGAACGCCGCGCGGCCGUGGGGUUGGGGGACCGCUCUCCCUCGCCCCUUCUUCCCGCCCUACCCCUGCAAUAUCGGAAUACUAUCGUGUAAUUUUCAUUACCGCUGGAUGCUGGA